rnacentral:rRNA from 1 species
ACGAACGCUGGCGGCGUGCCUAAUACAUGCAAGUAGAACGCACAGUUUAUACCGUAGCUUGCUACACCAUAGACUGUGAGUUGCGAACGGGUGAGUAACGCGUAGGUAACCUGCCUGGUAGCGGGGGAUAACUAUUGGAAACGAUAGCUAAUACCGCAUAAUAUUAAUUAUUGCAUGAUAAUUAAUUGAAAGGUGCAAUUGCACCACUACCAGAUGGACCUGCGUUGUAUUAGCUAGUAGGUGAGGUAACGGCUCACCUAGGCGACGAUACAUAGCCGACCUGAGAGGGUGAUCGGCCACACUGGGACUGAGACACGGCCCAGACUCCUACGGGAGGCAGCAGUAGGGAAGCUUCGGCAAUGGACGAAAGUCUGACCGAGCAACGCCGCGUGAGUGAAGAAGGUUUUCGGAUCGUAAAGCUCUGUUGUAAGAGAAGAACGGGUGUGAGAGUGGAAAGUUCACACUGUGACGGUAUCUUACCAGAAAGGGACGGCUAACUACGUG